GUUCUUCCUCCCCCAUCUCGUCUCAUCUCCGGUCGCUGCAGAGGAGCCCCGUUUCGCGCCGCCACCAUGGUUGGCCUCCAGCGAGCAGCAGAGGACCUAGCCGCCGCGUCCGACCUCAACCGCCGCCCGAAACCCUAGCCCCUCCUUCCAACGGCAGGUCAAGCCAGCAGGAUCCCCUCCAAGAACAGCAUUUGAUGCGCCCGACUCAUCUCUGCUUGUGCACAACAAGGAAGGCCAUGGAGAUGCUGCUCCCUAUGUUCAGCGCGUGGACGGACGAUGCAGUGUUGGGGAUGACUCAUGGCUGCCUCCGUUUGUGCAGAUUGGGUACUCUGGAGCACAUGGGAGGAGGAGAAGGAUGGGAGGUGUGUAGAAUUCGGCGCCAAGGGAGACGAUCGAGAUGGUGGAGCAGAAUCCAGAGGACGAUGGGAG